CACGUAGGGCGCAAGCGUUGUCCGGAAUUAUUGGGCGUAAAGAGCUCGUAGGCGGUCUGUUGCGUCCGCUGUGAAAACCCGGGGCUUAACCCUGGGCUGGCAGUGGAUACGGACAGACUAGAGGUAGGUAGGGGAGAAUGGAAUUCCCGGUGUAGCGGUGAAAUGCGCAGAUAUCAGGAGGAACACCGGUGGCGAAGGCGGGUCUCUGGGCCGAUAUUGACGCUGAGGAGCGAAAGCGUGGGGAGCAAACAGG
rnacentral:rRNA from 1 species